GUCUACGGCCAUACCACCCUGAACACGCCCGAUCUCCUCCGAUCUGGGAAGCGAAGCAGGGUUGGGCCUGGUUAGUAUUGGACUGGAGAAAGUGCUGUGCAUG
rnacentral:rRNA from 1 species